rnacentral:rRNA from 1 species
AUUGAACGCUGGCGGCAUGCUUUACACAUGCAAGUCGAACGGUAACAGGCCGCAAGGUGCUGACGAGUGGCGAACGGGUGAGUAACGCAUCGGAACGUGCCCAGUCGUGGGGGAUAACGCAGCGAAAGCUGCGCUAAUACCGCAUACGAUCUCUGGAUGAAAGCGGGGGACCGAAAGGCCUCGCGCGAUUGGAGCGGCCGAUGUCAGAUUAGGUAGUUGGUGGGGUAAAGGCUCACCAAGCCAACGAUCUGUAGCUGGUCUGAGAGGACGACCAGCCAAACUGGGACUGGGACACGGCCCAGACUCCUACGGGAGGCAGCAGUGGGGAAUUUUGGACAAUGGGCGCAAGCCUGAUCCAGCAAUGCCGCGUGCAGGAAGAAGGCCUUCGGGUUGUAAACAGCUUUCAGUUGGGACGAAGCUUCUGCCGUUAAUAGCGGUUGGGAGUGACGGUACCUUCAGAAGAAGCCCCGGCUAACUACGUGCCAGCCGCCGCCGUAAGAC